rnacentral:rRNA from 1 species
UACGAAGGGGGCUAGCGUUGUUCGGAAUUACUGGGCGUAAAGCGCACGUAGGUGGAUUGUUUAGUCAGGGGUGAAAUCCCAGAGCUUAACUCUGGAACUGCCUUUGAUACUGGCAAUCUCGAGUUCGGAAGAGGUGAGUGGAAUUCCUAGUGUAGAGGUGAAAUUCGUAGAUAUUAGGAAGAACACCAGUGGCGAAGGCGGCUCACUGGUCCGACACUGACGCUGAGGUGCGAAAGCGUGGGGAGCAAACAGG